CAGAGACGUACUUUCCCAUCAAUUGAGCCACUAAUGAAAUAAUUAUCAUCCAUGGGAUUGAACUCUACACAAGUGACAUAAUUAUUAUGCGGAUAAACACCAAGGCAUUUAUCAUGUCCAACUUGCCAAAGACGAGCUGUUUUAUCAACAGAAGAUGACAGCAGAUACCCAUUUUUGGACCAUGAGAGGGCCAAUACUUCACUGGUAUGCCCACGGAACUCGUGGAUUGGUUUCUCCAUAAUCCGGAAUAACUUUGGCGGGAGUACAACACAAGCUGAUUCUGAUGAUUUUCUCAUCAUUUUCAUCCCACUGAUCUUCUCUCCGUUGUCAUUGAGAGAAGCUAAUUUGGAAAAAUGAUUCAGUGAAAAGUAUAAACAAGAGGGGUCAAUAUCCUGAACAUUGAACUUUUUAGACAUUUCGUCCUCAAUCACUCUCCAAAUGCGCACAGUGCCAUCUUUGCCAGCACUUGCCAAGUAUUGGCCACAAGGACUGAACUUCAUUGUUAUGAUGGAGCCUUCAUGUGCCAGGAAUUCUUGGCCUGUGUAAAGUGAGGACAGUUCUUUUG
rnacentral:misc_RNA from 1 species